GAUGAACGCUAGCGAUAGGCAUAACACAUGCAAGUCGAGGGGCAGCACAUGAGUGGCAACACGAUGGUGGCGACCGGCGCACGGGUGAGUAACACGUCUGCAACCUGCCCAUAACUGGGGGAUAACCCGUCGAAAGGCGGCCUAAUACCGCAUGACAACGAUGAUCCGCAUGGUGAUUCGUUUAAAGAUUUCGCGGUUAUGGAUGGGCAUGCGUUCCAUUAGGUAGUUGGCAGGGUAACUGCCUACCAAGCCUACGAUGGAUAGGGGUUCUGAGAGGAAGGUCCCCCACACUGGUACUGAGACACGGACCAGACUCCUACGGGAGGCAGCAGUGAGGAAUAUUGGUCAAUGGGCGAGAGCCUGAACCAGCCAAAUCGCGUGAAGGAUGAAGGUAUUAUGUAUUGUAAACUUCUUUUGUCGGGGAAUAAAGUGCAGCACGUGUGCUGUUUUGUAUGUACCCGAAGAAUAAGGAUCGGCUAACUCCGUGCCAGCAGCCGCAGUAAAAC
rnacentral:rRNA from 1 species